rnacentral:rRNA from 1 species
CUUUCGAGUCGUAAACUUCUUUUAAGGAAAAGAAAGUCCGCCGCAAGGCGGAUUGAUCUAUCCUAGAAUAAGCAGUGGCUAAUUACGUGCCAGCAGCCGCGGUAAUACGUAAACUGCAAGCGUUAUCCGGAAUUAUUAGGCGUAAAGGGAGCGUAGGCGUUUUGUCAAGUUCCUGGUGAAAUCUUCGGGCUUAACCCGAAAAUUGCUGGGAAAACUGAUAGAAUUGAGUUAAAGAGGGGAGAGUGGAAUUCCUGGUGGAGCGGUGAAAUGUGUAGAUAUCAGGAAGAAUACCAAUGGCGAAGGCAACUCUCUGGCUUUAAACUGACGCUGAAUCUCGAAAGCGUGGGUAUCGAACGGGAUUAGAGACCCCGGUAGUCCACGCCCUAAACGAUGAAUACUAGAUAUCGGCGGUAACCAAUCCGUCGGUGUCACAGCUAACGCGUUAAGUAUUCCGCCUGGGGACUACGGCCGCAAGGCUAAAACUCAAAGGAAUUGACGGGGACCCGCACAAGCGGUGGAGCAUGUGGUUCAAUUCGAUGCAACGCGAAGAACCUUACCUGGGUUU